GGUCCAUUCGUCUAACGGCUAAGAUAAGUGACUGUCUAUCACUGGACACGGGUUCGAUUCCCGUAUGGACCGCCA
rnacentral:tRNA from 1 species